ACGCAGUCGGCGUCCGCGCGUCCGCACGUGCAGCCGUUUAAGCGCGGCUUGUGCUCCUCCGAGGACACAGCGAGAUCUGCGAGUGGAGAGGUCUCUGUUUUCCUCUCAAACUGCUCCCUCCCCAACAAAACACCUAAACCGAACAUCUUACCUGCUUUUGAAAGGAAACCAGGGGAGAAAGCAUACAAAGGGAAAAACUGAGUAUGUUCUAACACUCCCCUUCCCCUGUUUAAUAUCCACCGAGCCCUUUUGGUGAUCCUUUGGAGGAGGAACAGAUUUGGGGAAAAAGGCUAAGCA
rnacentral:lncRNA from 1 species